GCUCUAUUCUUACAUAGGUACAUAUGCACUUAGCGUUGGCAUUACCAAAUUAGUGUACCCGCAGCUACAGGUGCAAUAGACCAGCUGAUAUGCAUGACAGAGUCGCAAUGCAAAGCUCGGCUCUGCAUCGCAGCCAACUUUGCUGACCCGUAUCCGAAUUCCGGAUACGUUCUUUUCGUCAAAAGUUAUUCGAAGCGAUCACACGCGUUUAAUCCGAGUGCCGCUCACCAAGUCGGAAAUAUAUAUAUACAAGUGUUCCGGAAGAGAAAGUGGCUUAUUCAUUUAUUUAUUUUGGCGGCUGCCUAGAUUAGAUUAGAUUUUUCAUUAGAUUUUUCCUUUGGGUCCCAGUGGAUAAUCGGACCGCCUUGGCCAUCCGCGGCUACAGCAAGUGCGGAGUUUCGCGGGCAUCGAGGGAUUACCCGGACAUCGCCGAGAGAUAGACGGGACACGUAGUGUCUACUGGAGCACCCCUUGGACGCCGUACUUGGAGCCACGCCCCGCGUCUACAGGAGCACCCUCCGGGAGCCAAGCCACGCGGUCCCCCCGCGUCCUCAGGAGCACCCCAACAACCCAGCACCAGCAGCUGGCUAGACCUAAAGGUCUACCAGCGUUCGCCCCAUCUUAGCGGGCAGAAAACCCGCUCGUUUAUUUAUAUUUUUUUUUGUAACCGCCUCAGAAGCUCACCCUGUCUAGCUACCUGAGCAACGGCAAUCAACUAGGCCACAUAAAAUAGCUGCUUAGUUCAGAGCCAAUAUGUAGUCCACCAAAAUUGUCAUAUACCAGGCCAUCGUCCAAACAAAACAAUAGUGAUCAGCCACGACACUGGGAAUAAUCUUUCAUUUUCGAUUGGUGUAAAUUAUUAUUAAAAAAAAAAAAAAAAAACUAUAAAUUCGCCCAGUGUCGGAAUUUUAUCCACAUUUAACCUAUAAUAUGCGAUGGCUGCACUGGAAAAAAAAUUUGGAAAUAAAGUUAAUUUAAAUACUAAAUGAAAAUCAAACUUAAACAAAUAUUGUUCAGAACAGGAAAUAUAUGUAGGUGUAGAAAAAGAAAUUAUAAAAACAUUAAAUAAUAUAAAGAAAAAGAAAAGAAAGGGUAGAAAAAGAAAUUAUGAAAACAUAAAAAUAUACAAAGAAAAAAAAAAAAAAAUACAAUUAUGUAAAUAUUAGGAAUCUUAGGUCUCUGGAAAUAUUAUUAGUUUAAGAAAAUAGCUGGUUGUCUAAAACAGAUGAAUGCUCGGUAUCUAUUUAACCCCUGGCGAACCAAAGUCGCUGUUCUAUUGCAGGUACCCCUCGGGAGAUCGAUCUUCGUCGUGGAGAGUACACAAAGUGAGUCACUAUAAAACAAAUCUUGUUCGUUGGUUAAUGCAUACUCGGCAUUCACAUUCUGAUGAUUAUAAAAGAAUAUACAAACAAAAUUAAAAAAACAAAA